rnacentral:rRNA from 1 species
GAUGAACGCUGGCGGCAUGCCUAACACAUGCAAGUCGAUCGGUAAGGCUCUUCGGAGUACACGAGAGGCGGACGGCUGAGUAACGCGUAGGAACACACCCUGCAGUGAGGGAUAAGACACCGAAAGGUGUUCUAAUACCGCAUACGGUCUUCGGAUUAAAGCAUUUAUGCGCUGAAGGAGUGGCCUGCGUCAUAUUAGAUAGUUGGUGAGGUAAUGGCUCACCAAGUCGAUGAUGUGUAGCUGGUCUGAGAGGAUGAACAGCCAGACUGGAACUGAGACACGGUCCAGACUCCUACGGGAGGCAGCAGUGAGGAAUAUUUCACAAUGAGCGAAAGCGUGAUGGAGCAAUGCCGCGUGCAGGAUGAAGGCCCUCGGGUUGUAAACUGCUUUUAUAAGAGAAGAUUAUGACGGUAACUUAUGAAUAAGGGACGGCUAACUACGUG